AGCAGCCGCGGUAAUUCCAGCUCCAAUAGCGUAUAUUAAAGUUGUUGCAGUUAAAAAGCUCGUAGUUGAAUUUCGGGAUCAGUUGGUCGGUCGUGCCUCGGUACGUACUGGUCAAAUUGAUUCCUACCUUCUGACGAACCACGAUGUCAUUAAUUUGGUGUCGCGGGAAAUCAGGACUGUUACUUUGAAAAAGUUAGAGUGUUUAAAGCAGGCUCGCGCUUGAAUACAUUAGCAUGGAAUAAUGAAAUAGGACGUUUGAUUCUAUUUUGUUGGUUUCUAGGAUCGACGUAAUGAUUAAUUGGGAUAGUUGGGGGCAUUAGUAUUCAAUUGUCAGAGGUGAAAUUCUUGGAUUUAUUGAAGACUAACUACUGCGAAAGCAUUUGCCAAGGAUGUUUUCAUUAAUCAAGAACGAAAGUUAGGGGAUCGAAGACGAUCAGAUACCGUCGUAGU
rnacentral:rRNA from 1 species